rnacentral:sRNA from 1 species
UGAUACGAGAAAGCCUGCAAUUCUUUU